GGAGAGUGUAACAGACACGAGUGCCUUUCCGCCGCCCCGUGGAAAGCUGCAGGUAUUUUGCUGCCAUUGUGCAAAGCCCUUCGUGCCCAGACAAAGAAGAAAAUUCUGCACCGCCCGUGAAAGAUCACUGAAGCCAGGAAUGGGUACGGCUGUGCCGCCCGAGGAAGCAACACCCGGCGGUGGGAAAACUUUUUCAACUACCGAGGAGCGCAGCCAAGGAGGGGUGUUCCGAAGAGGCCAUGAAUGGUGGCGAUCUCCCAGUGGAAAGCAACUUGGAAGCAGAAAAUACAAUUUUAAUUGAAUCCCCCUUGCCAACACUAUCCGGCCCACCUCCCCGGUAAACCUUCCUUCCAAGCGCCAGGCCAGAGACAGGCCCCUGGACCAGCUGGACCAUUGAUCUGCGAUGGACAUGGCUACAUUGCUAACCGUUCUUUGGCUCAGGGUCUGAGGCAUUGGACAUCACAGGGCUCGCAGGUGCCGGGGCAAUUCCCCACCGGCUGCUGGCUGGAGUCUCUGGAUUAAAUCCCGCGGGACUGGAAGCCCCCUGACUUCAGGCACACUGGGAUCGUAAACCACCGAUCACAAUGUUCGCAAGCCCGGUGUUUAAAACGAGAGCGAGUGAUUGCAAACCACUUCCCCUUCCUUUUGUCGCGGUGAGGGAGACGUUUCUACAGGUAGAGCCAAGGUGCUGCAAAAGACAGACCAGCCCCCUCCUCUCCAUCUGCCUGGGUAACAAAGAACCAGGAAAUUAACAAGAAUGAGAAAUGCCACUUUGCAGCAUGGUCACGAAAACCAGCUGCUCUGAUUAUGGAUAACAAGAACGAUCUUUGCAGCCUGGCUGCUGCAUCGCAAAUAUCCCCGGUUCAGACUCGUAGCUCUCCCCACGCGGUCUCUGGAAGCAAGAUAUGUAAAGGUUGAACGAUGUAGAAGGGAUGACGGGGGUUAGAUGCCGUUUCUCCCCUCCCCCACUAGUCCUGAAUUAAUCCUGUUGCUCUGGUGUAAAUGUGAGGGGUUGUUUUAUAAUCAACUGGGGGUUCUCCCCCCCCCCCCCCGCACUGAGCAGACUUAAUGGCUGUAAAGGGAUCUACGUAACACAUUGUACUUAAAUUUGAUUUAUUCCUGCACAUUUGAAAAAUACUUCCCCCCCCCCAAGUCAUUUUGUAACAAGGUGGGGGGGAUCCUAUUUCUUAGACCAACACAAGUUAUCUGGGUUUCUCUCUACCCAUCCGCGGAGUGUCUAUAAUUACUGUCCCAUGAGCUGCCUUGUCCUUCCCCUGCUGUUCUCGGAAGCGCUCUUUAGGCAAUUUCUGCUGGAGAUUGUCACCAGACUGGGCCAGGAGAACGAGCUUGUGUGUGUGUGUGUAUGUGUGUGUGCCCCGAGCCCCCUCCUCCCCCCGCCCUUUCUUUCCCAGUAACAUUUCAGAUUUGGCGACGGUAGCUCGAGCCAGACACCGGAUUAAACGCGAUCGGAGGUGGCGUUUCACAGCGAAAUGGGAAGGAAGCGACAUUUCCUCUGGAGACAGAAAAAGAACUUGAACCAAGGGACCCGCUUCGGAGUCUAUGUGGAGAGAAGUAAAUGGCUACCGAAUCAGACACAUUCCUGGUUUGCCCACAAGACGACUGUGGCCUCCCACCAACCACGUGUAAAAGCAACCCUCCAAGAGAGACCGCAACACGUGCGUGUGAGUGUGUGACUGCGAGAAAGCCAGCGACAACCUUUGUGAGACAUUUUGGCUGCCUCUGGUGCAAAAGUAGCAUUAACUAAUCACCCGGUUGACCAAAUCAUAUCGUUUUAAUGAUUGCAGGCCCGCUGCUUAUAAACUCUCACCAGUGAAUCCUUAUCUUUAAUUUUACCGAGGUUAAUUAGCAUGCCAAAAAAGAAAAUAAAAAUUAUGUCGGAGGUAAUGAGUAAACUUAAAUCUAAUUUGCUGUGAUUGAUAUAGCCUUCAGAGAGGAGGUAAUAAGCACACACCCCCACUAUGCCUACUCAAUGCAAGAGCUCUGCAGGUAGAGAAAUAUCCAGCUUUGUGCGCACAUGUGGAGGUUGCAAAGAAUUAGUAGGCAAGUGUUAUUUUCUUCAUUAGACAGUAGGGGAGGCAGCAAGGCCUUGUGGUUACAGCAAUGGCCUGGGAGCUCAGGGGCUUUUGUUCCAGUCCUGGCUCUCUGCCACUGCCUGAUGUGUGACCAUGGGCAAAUCCCUUCCCCUCCCUCUGUGCCUCUGUUUUCCCUCCCAUCCUUUGUCUUGUCUAUGUGGAUUAUAAGAUCUUCAGGACAGGGACUGUCUCUUUCUAUGUGUUUCUACAGCACCUAGCACCAGGGAGGCACUACUGCCAUACGAACAGGAAUAGGAGGGUUUUAUUCUGUACAAGAACCCCCAGACAAGAACUUCUAUCCAAGAACCCCAGCUGCAGGUACAUAUUCGAUUCUUAAGGUAAACAAAAAUCUUAUAAGAAAGUUGAAGUAGUUCAUAUAGAAAGAAAGAAAGAAAGAAAGAAAGAAAGAAAGAAAGAAAGAAAACCAGGACAUUUCUAUAAUAAGAAAGGUUUCAGAGUAGCAGCCCUGUUAGUCUGUAUUCGCAAAAAGAAAAGUGGCACUUUAGAGACUAACCAAUUUAUUAAUAAUAAUAAGAAGAAAGAAAGCCAAACAUUUGAAAGCAUGGCAAUGCAUAGUUAAAACACUGAAACACCCUUAACUCUGCCCUUUUAGCAGUGCCUUGUAGGAGGAAGGAGGGUGGGGGAGAGAAUAUGUGAGACAAUCUCAUCCAUCCAGAAGCUCAUGGUUUUCUUACAUUUUUAAAAUACAACAAUUUGGGGGUUCAUUGUGUCAGUUAUUUAGCCCAGGUUUGUUAACAGUGUGUUUGUAAAAGUAUACCCAGUCCACAUAUAGACGUUUACACCCUGAAGGUAUUAGAUACUUGUCUUUCAUUUUAAAAAAUUCCAAACCCAGAUUCUGCCUGGAUACAUACCCCAUCUUAUACCCUCUUGAGGUGCGGGCAUUGGAGAUCCAUUUCCUGCUCCCAUUGAACUAAAGGGAGUUUUGCCCUAGACUUUAGGAGGAGUAGGGCUGGGGGCUAAUUUUUUUUUUUAAAUGGGCUUCUGGUGUUUGAGAAGCUAACAGGUCCCAGAUUCAAUUCUAUGUUCACACAUUAAAUAAAUAAACCCCAAACACAGUGAUGAUUUGGACACGGGGUGUGGAUCCAGUCUCCUCUCACAUUGUAAUGUUCAGAAUAAAACACGAAUCAUUUGCAACCUGUGGAACUCACUGCCUCAGAGAUUGCAGUGGUCAGGAGAUGACUUUUUUAAGCAUUGGAGCUCCCUAUGAACAACCAUAUCCACGGUUGUUAACUAUUUCUAUUACAAUAGCACCAAACUGUUCCAGUCAGGCAUCAGGACCUCAUUGGGCUAGGUAUUGUACAAAGGUUUAUUAAAAAGAUAGACUCUGCCCCAAAGAGCCUGCAAAUUUACAGCCCUAAUUCUGGCCGGAGACUCUUGUGGGCGAUAUUCAGCGGGGGUCCCACAUCUGGAUGAUUUCAGUGCGGGCCUGGGGUCUAGCUUACAAUAGAAUACGACAGCUAGGUGCAAUAAUCAAUAAGGAUGUGUGGAGGUGAUGGAGGCAUUGACAGUGCGGCAAGCAUAUAUCUCAGCACAGAGUGCAUGAGUCCUGGUAUCUGAGUGCUGAUCUAAGCACUAAAAGGACUUUAUUUUGUACUUUGAUACAAUUAUAUACCACAACACUUUACAGAAGUAAACCUUGCAAGACAGCAGCCGGUGAUUAAUACAAAUGACAACACUGGAGGAUCAGAGCUCUGUAUUGGAAGGCCAAGGACAGAGACAGGGCAAAAUGAAAACAUCUGGGUAUAAGCGAAGAGAGGGUUACAGAUGAGAAAAGUAAUGGCAGGUCACAAGGGUUUGGAGGGUAUGAAGGACGAAAGAAGUUUGGGGAGAUGAAGGCACCUCCCUAGAAAAUCUUAGUGCCUUUCCAUGGUAUAACUCUCAUGAUGCAUGUGCAGGAUGAAAAGUGUGAUGUAAAUUAAAAGCUAAGCCAAACUGUAAAGUUCAGAUCCAUAUGCAAACUUAACGUAAGAAUGUCCAGACUGGGUUGUACCUGUCUUGUUUUUGACAGAGCUUCAGGAGAAAUUUUGGAGAGAUCCACCCGGCUUCCCCUGCUGGCUGCUGGCAGUCAGAGGUUUAGGGACACCCAGAGCAUGGGGUUGCAUCCCUGACUAUUCUGGCUAAUAGCCAUUGAUGGACCUAAUCUCCAUGAACUUAUCUAGUUCUUUUUUGACCCCAGUUAUACUUUUGGCCUUCACAGGUUAAUUGUCCAUUGUAUGAAAAAGUCCUUCCUCUUGUUUGUAUUAAACCUGCUGCCUGUUAAUUUCAUCCCCCCAAAUUCGGAUGUGCGGUUUUGGUUUGGCUCCUUACAGACAAGGGAAUAGUCAGAAAAUCUGGAUCCAGAUCUGAAGUUCCACAGGGACUGGAGCUGUUUGUAUCCUGCUGGAAAUGAGUUAUAUCUAGGUUCCUACAGGGAAGGGGCAGAGGAGUGAGCCCAAGCUUUGAAGGAAAGGUCAGAUCCCAAAUGCCGGGCUCACUGCAGACAGAUGGGGGAAAAAACCCAAGCAACUUGCAGUAGCAGAGGUGGCAUCAUCUUCCCAGACUCAUAACCCCCCCCCACCACACACACACACAGGUUUUUUUCCAGGACUUUUACUGCUCACUGGAGAUGAGCCAUGACAUUUCCUUCUCCCCUUUCAUAAAUAUUGCAUCUACCAAAUGCAAUUACCAAAGGCGAAGCAGCACGAGUGUUUACUAAAUCCGAUUACGCGAUAAUGUUAAUGUAUUUUAUGUCUGUGUUCUGACACCAGACAAACUCCCUAUUAAUAAUGGCUCAAUGAGAUGCGGAUGUUCUUAACAGGGUGCUUUAGGGGAUUGGAGGUUUUUGUGGUGGUGAAGUCUCUCGCUGGGAGGCUGGAGGCUUACACAGCGAGAGAGAAAGGGUCCGGUCCACCAGAAAUGCCUGUGACAUGUAUUGCGGUGUGGCUGCAGGCGAACCAGCAAAUGUCCAGCAUAUGCUAGCUCACAGGCACCUGCCAGGCUAGGUUCUGAGUUGGACUGCACACCUGCACAGGGAGUGAGAACUCCCCUUUGUAACUCUACGGGGGCUACCUCGCCUUUGGGUCCAGGGAUAAAUAACAACAUCCAGCCCUUACAUAGCACUUUUUAUCAGCGGCGCUCAAUGUACUCUGCAAAGAGAGUCAGUAUCAUUAUGCCCAUUUUACAGAUGCAGAAACUGAGGCACAGAAUGGUGAAGUGACUAGUCCAAGUUCACCCAGCAGGCCGGUGGCAGAGCCAAGAAUUGACUCUAGGUCUCCUGAGUCCCAGUCCAGUGCUCCAUCCACUAGGCAGGUGACUUCCUCCCUGCAGCAGGGUGGAUGGGAGCAGACAGGGAUGAGAGGGGCCUUUUUCCUGUACCUCACUUACUAGCCAGCAUGGCUGAGCUGGUGCAGGGAUACUGCACCAUCACCACGCCAAGGGAGACCUUUUCCCAACUGCACACCCUGGGCCCGGGCGUUUGUACUUUUCUCUGCACUUCCAGGAUGGCCUGUGCUCUAGGGUGGUGGGCGUCACGCUCAUUCUGGAGCAUCGCGAUUCACACAGCUCUGCCUCUCCCACCCGUUUGUGGAUAUUUCCAGCCCCUUUCAUGCUCCUGUGAGAAGCAGUGACAUGGAUCACUCACUCACCUUUAACUCCUAAAGCCACAAAGGGAAGUGCCCCAUCCCCUUCCUGCCCCUUCUAUGCAUCCACCAAGGUGACUUCCUUCCUUGGGAAGUGAUCCAGGCCCCCAGACUGGAGAACUGAAGUCUUGUUCAUCUUCUCUGUGUCGGGCUAGACAGGACACCUCUUUACCAGACUACCCUGGCCUUUCACUAGCUUGACAGACAGAGGAGCUAGGUGGUCAAUGGACAAAUUGAUCCAAAACCCAUUGAAGUCUAUGGGAAGAGGCCCAUUGACGUCAAAUGGCUUUGAACCAGUAUUAACUCUCAUUGCCCUGAUCUUGGAAGCCUUGGAUUGGGUGGGGGACGGGUUUAAGUGUCUUGUGCUCCAGUGCAGGGGUGGGCACCUGGUUCAAAAUGCAGCCCAGGGGGCCAUCGUCUGUACCGAGCAGCGGUGGCGAAUCUCCCAGCUCUUCCUCCCAAGAGUGCUGGGUCAGAGAAGGGGCGGGGCAUGGGCGUGUCUGAGACACAGGACAUAAGGUUAGAUCCUCGUCAAGCGAACAAAACAAUUAGCCCUAGGCUCAUAGGCCUGGCUCCUGCUAGCCAGCUGGGGAACUUGGCCUCCAUGCAUCAGCAUCUCAUUAAUUCAGGGUCCCCGCUACACCCCCUCUUGCUCCGUGUGUCCAUACACACAGCUCCUCGCUGCCCUUCCCAACGAUGGGACAGGGAGUGACGACUGUAGGGCCAUGAACAAGCCCUGCCUCAGUUACCGUAUCCUCACAAGCGCCACGCUCCCCCUGUGUGUUGCUAGGACUUCCCAGGUUCUUUGUGUGGCCGUGAGCUAAGCCGCUCUGUUUACUGGGGGAGGGGGGAAUUUCGUCUGUCCUUCUGCGGGAAGUGUGGGAGCAGCUUGGGCCCUCAGUGCAAAGUCAGCAAGUUAAUAAACCCAGUGAAAGUAGCAUCCAAAUUCUGCCCUAUAGCCCCAGCUGGGCCAGGUAUAAAGCACCAAACUGGGGGGUGAGCUUUAGUAUGUGCAAAUGGGAGGGAGCUGGGAUAGCCCAGGCUGCUUCUGCAAUGACAGACCAAUGUUUCUACGCUUCAAAAUGUGCCAUGGGAAUCUUUAAUGUCUGGGACCUCGGCUUUAAUAUCUCAUUUGAAAGAUGGCACCUGCCACCACCCCCACACAGGGCAGACAGUACCAACUCGAACAGCUCCAGGUCUCCCAUCCAAGUACCCACCUGCCAGGAUUCUGCUUAGCUUCUGUGAGUUGAUAAGGUGCAACCCACAGAGGUACCUGGGCAAGUGGAACAAGACCCCUUAAGCACGGGGGAAGUGAGAUGUGUAUCUCUCUUGGCUAGUCCAAUUUUGAAAGAAAUAAAACAUUAGAGCACAAUACAUUACUCCAAGGGGCAGCCCGAUUUCCAGGGGCUAAUAGCCAUGGCAAGCGGAGUCCUAUGUGCUCCAGAAGGUCUCCUUGUCCCAUACAUAAUGCCUAGCCUGGGUAGCCUUUACAAGGGUGUAAAUCACUCACAGGGCUCUGAUAACCUACCAGACCUGGAGAGGCUUAUUCACCAUUAUCAGGAUCCUGUGAGUAAAAUACUUACUGGUUAUCAGCCAUGUGUUAUCCUUACCUCUAUGGUACAAGUGGGCCCUGUGGGCUAAUCAGGCACACUCCAUGCCAGUCCAGUUAUUCCCAGCUAUUAAUAACCACUGGCUCUGAAACCCCCUAACAAGUGGAAGAGUGAGAAGAAAAGACCAUGCCUGUCUACCAUGCCAUUUUUACCCAUACAUCCCAUUUAUGCGUGGGCAAGAUUUUCCAAAGUGACUAAGAUUUGGAGUGUCUCAUCCUUGGGAUCCCCACUCGGAGCCAUUGCAAAGCAGCCUGGGGUUCAGGAAGUUCUUCUCAGCUCCCACCCCCUGAAAGCCCAGCACCCAAGAGCCAUUUUUGAAAACUUUGGCCAUGUUUUCAGCUUGCCCAUCCCUGUCAUUUCUAGGCAACCACUAGAAGAGGGUGGAAGUUCAGCAAGGUUGUUCCAUCCAAGCCACUUUGCUAAUCCCUAACACAAUCACUGUUGUCCACUGUAGGGAAUAAGGAUCAGCUUCAUGCUAUCGAUGUACAAAGGAUGCUGGAGUGGGUAAACCACUGACAGGUUCCUGUCCUAGAGAUUUUAUAUAGGCGAAAGGCAGGAGUGAAAACAAUACAAGAUAGAACAUGUCCAGAGUAGGGUAUGGAGCCCUGCGCCCACACAGAGCCCUCCUGUCUUUCACUGAGCUCUGCAGGCAGGAUCAAGACCUUAAUCUGUAAACUCGUACACUGUAGUGCUGCACUAAAAUGGAUCCGUCUCUGUGUCCCCCUCUUAUUUAUGUUUGCACUUUAAAGCCCUGAAAAGCUGCUAUGAAUCCAAGAAGAACAGAUCUAACAAAAGGGGUGUGACACACGGUACCUCAAAGUAGCACCCUGGAACCCCCACAUUCCCCACUGUCAUAUCAUUGUGCUAUGUUUUGAACAAAGUUUGUCUUGUGAGGUAGCAUGUUAAAAGUCUUGCUCAGUUGAAUAGUAAUCUCCUGCUGGAUUGUAAGUGCUGUCGUUAUAUGAGAAGUUCUGAAGCAUUGUUCUAUGUGUUACUGAAAUACCUUGUGAGGUUGGAUGUCCACAGCCAGCCUUUCAAUUGCAACCAGUGAACCAGCCAGACACAUGCUGAUGGCCAUUAAAGGGAAUCCAUUCCUCCGAAGGGCCUUCCCAGAGACUUCUCAGGGAGAGCACGUAUACACCGGAGACAGCUUCACCAAUGGGGGCUGCCUGAUCCCCCCCACCACACACGCACAGCAAAGAUCUUUCCAGCAAGCUGGAAGAGACUAUAAAAGAGGGGAAGUGACAUCAUCACUUGGCCCUCUGCCCCCCCCAACUCAACACCUGGAGGAACAUCUGGAGGACAAAGACUUUGAGCUGGAGAAGGGCGGUCCCAGGCUGGAAAUGGAAUCCAGUCUGUGUAUUGAGGAUCUGCAACCUGCUAGUACCAUCUGUCAGCGGGAGACACUGCCUGAUUCAAAUCUUGUUUAGUUUGUAGAACUUAGACUGCACUUUUAUUUUUAUUUCUUAAGUAACCAGCUUUGAUCUCUAUGCCUGCCACUUACAAUCACUUAAAAUCGAUCUUUCUGCAGUUAAUAAAGCUGUUUUAUAUUUUACCUAAAACAGCGUGUUUCGGUUGAAGUGCUUGGGAAACCUCCGCUCAGUUUACAAAGGUUGGUGUGUGUUCUCUCCACACUGAGGGAGGGGCGAAGUAGGUAAUGAGCUGACACUGGUCAGGCUUCAGACCGGGGCA